GUGUGGGAUGAAAGGAGAGAAGGCUAGCACCCCCUUUCACAAAG
rnacentral:snRNA from 1 species